rnacentral:lncRNA from 1 species
GGGUUGAUUCGGUUGGUUCGGUUUUUUAUAAUAUUUUUAUUGAGCCAUAUAUACUCCUAUAAAUAAUGACAUAACUUUGUGUUUAGUCAUUCAUACAUUACUAAAUAACAUCAAAGUUCAUCAUAUUUAGACAAAAACGUUUCAUUCAAUAUACAAAAAAUCAUAUUAGACAAAAGUGGAAUAAAAGACAAAUAUAAAUAGUAGCAUAAAAUAAUAUCAAAGACAUUAUAAUAAAACAUAAAAAAA